UCCAAAACGUUUCUGGAACGCCGCGCGACUGCAAAGUUGGGUGCAUUUUUUGGCACAAUCAGCUAUUUUAAAUUAAAGCUUUUUACGGUUUACAUAUUUCACCAGAGGAUACACCGACAGCCCAUUGUUGCCCUAGCCACGCUAGACUUUCAGUUGGCGUUGGUCGUGCUUUGUGGAGCAUGUCUUUGCCUAAGAAGGAGGUUGAGGAGCUGCGUCCUUGGGUAGAGCGCACCGUCAAGAAGGUUCUGGGCUUCUCUGAGCCCACCGUCGUCACAGCCGCACUACACUGCGUAGGCAAAGGCCUGGACAAGAGGAAAACCACAGACCAGUUGCGUCCCUUCCUAGACGAGUCUGCAGGGGGGUUUGUAGAGCGUCUGUUUGAGGCUUUAGAGGAGAGCAAGAACUCUCGUGGCGCCAAGGGAGGAGCCGACCGCAACCGCAAACGAGACCUCAAGGACGUGUUUGGUGAUGAGAUGGAGGCCAUGCGGGAGGCUGCCGAGGCUGCUGGUGAUCAGCAGGCGGUGAAGAGGAAGAGGACGCCGCGCUUUGAGGAGGUGGAGGAACCAGAGGUCAUACCAGGGCCUCCAGCAGAGAGCCCAGGCAUGCUGACCAAGAUGCAGAUCAAGCAGAUGAUGGAGGCAGCCACCCGGCAAAUUGAAGAGCGGAAGAAGCAGCUCAGCUUUGCAGCUCCUCCUCAGCCCAGACCCCCCCUCCCCACACCCCCCAUGCAGCAGGAACUACAUCUGCCCCUGCCCCUGCCCCUGCCCACCGCUCCACAGGGCAUGGGCAUGGGCAUGCCCAUACCCCCCAACCAAUCCCCCAUGGGGCUGGGCGGCCUGCUGAGUAUGAGCCUCGGCAUGGGGGGUCCCCCACCUAUGGGCAUGCCCCAGAUGCCCCAGCCUCCUAUGGGCAUGGGGCAGCAGUCCAUCCGGCCCUCGGCCGCCGCCAGCAUCAUGAAUGACGCCAUCGAGAAGGCUCGCAAGGCGGCCGAGCUGCAGGCCCGCAUCCAAUCGCAGCUCAGCGCCAAGCCGGGCAUCCUGGGGGCGCUAGGCAACGCGGCGGGGCCGGGGGGAGGGGCAGGCGGACCGCAGAACUUUGUCGCUCUGGCUAACCUGCAUGCUAUGGGCAUCGCACCACCUAGUGGCAAAGUGGAGGCUCGUGAGGUGAGUAAGCCCACGCCGCUGAUUCUGGACGAGCAGGGACGCACGGUAGACGCCAGCGGCAAAGAGGUGGAGCUCACACACCGCAUGCCCACGCUCAAAGCCAACAUCCGCGCGGUGAAGCGCGAGCAGUUCCGUCAGCAGCUGAAGGAGCGUCCUGGGGAGGAUCUGGAGUCCACCUCCUACUUUGACCAGCGCGUCUCCAUCCAGCCCGCUCAGCGGCCCCGCAAGGGCUUCAAGUUCCACGAGCAGGGCCGCUUCGAGAAGAUAGCACAGCGCAUACGCACCAAGGCCCAGUUGGAGAAGUUGCAGAUGGAGAUUGCCCAGGCGGCUAAGAAGACGGGCAUCCAGGCCUCCACCAAGCUGGCCCUCAUCGCACCCAAGAAGGAGCUGGGCGAGGGAGAGGUGCCCACCAUAGAGUGGUGGGACUCCUAUAUACUGCCCUCCAAUAUAGACCUAGGUCCUGAUACACCCUUUAAAGACAUGGAGCUGCAUGGAGUAACAACUCUGGUGGAACACCCAGCACAGAUGAGCCCUCCAGUGGAUGGCGAUGCUCCGGUGACGUUGGGAGUGUACCUGACCAAGAGGGAGCAGAAGAAGCUGAGGAGACAGACCAGGAGAGAGGGCCAGAAGGAGGUGCAGGAGAAAGUCCGACUGGGACUCAUGCCACCCCCUGAACCCAAAGUGCGUAUCUCCAAUCUAAUGAGAGUGCUGGGUACGGAGGCGGUGCAGGAUCCCACUAAAGUGGAGGCUCACGUCAGAGCCCAGAUGGCUAAGAGACAGAAGGCUCAUGAGGAGGCCAAUGCAGCACGUAAGCUGACAGCAGAGCAGCGCAAAGAGAAGAAGGUCAAGAAGCUAAAAGAGGACCUCACACAAGGAGUACACAUAGCUGUUUACAGGAUCCGUAACCUUAGCAACCCGGCUAAGAAGUUUAAGGUUGAGGCCAAUGCCAACCAGCUGUACCUGACGGGCACGGUGGUACUGCACAAGGAUGUCAACAUCGUAGUGGUGGAGGGAGGUCCGAAGUCCCAGAAAAAGUUUAAACGGCUGAUGCUGCACAGGAUCAAGUGGGACGAGGGCAACUCCAAACGGGAUGCGCCUGACGAGUUGGAUGAGGAUGGUGUGAGGAAGAAGAACAAGUGCUCUUUGGUGUGGGAGGGAACCGUGAAGGAGCGUAGCUAUGGCGACAUGAAGUUCAAGCAGUGUCCCACGGAGAACAUGGCCCGGGAGCACUUCAAGAAGAACGGAACCGAGCAGUACUGGGACCUGGCCCUCAGCCAGAGCGUGCUCGAGAGCACCGACGACUGAGAACGCGGAAGCGCCACGGAACACGCUAGAACACUCUAGAACACUGGGCCCAUGGGGAGCCACAGGGGGCCUACAGAGACUGGCUCAGGGGCCCCACACAGAGAUGGACUGACUAGAGAUGGGGAGGUGUGUGUGUGUGUGUGUGUGUGUGUGUGUGUGUGUGUGUG